GGGCGGGAGGGUAUUGCCUCAGUAGCGGCGAGUGAAGCGGCAAGAGCUCAGAUUUGAAAUCGUGCUUUGCGGCACGAGUUGUAGAUUGCAGGUUGGAGUCUGUGUGGAAGGCGGUGUCCAAGUCCCUUGGAACAGGGCGCCCAGGAGGGUGAGAGCCCCGUGGGAUGCCGGCGGAAGCAGUGAGGCCCUUCUGACGAGUCGAGUUGUUUGGGAAU
rnacentral:rRNA from 1 species